GUAGGACAGUCUAGCAUGCAGACAUUUCUUUCAUGGAGAAAUUUAACAAGUGGCAAAGAUUUUAUUUCAGUUACGGUAAUUCUACUUUUAUUAUUAGAAACGUAAUCAACCAAGGAGGUUUUAUUGGCAAAUUUGAAACCAGCCUUUGAGUACUUUGAUUACCUAAGUAAUUCGAACGUUUGAGUAGUAGGUACAAUCUUUAUCAAAGAUUCAUAAAAUAAUUUUAAACUAUAGUGAUAUGUUUAGUUAUUUUCAAAGAAUUAUACGAGUAGCAUACAAUGACUUUAAACGUUUGCUUGGCAACAUGUGUGCUUAGUCUACACAUAUUGCUAGCCACAAGUGCUGUAAUCCUAAACAUAGUAACGUUCACAUACGGACCCAAAGGCCGAAUAUUAGAGCAACAGCCAAUUAUGCCCUGGAUUUGGAAUAAUAGCUACGUACCUUACAAUGGAGAUAUCAGCCUGUAUAACCAGUUACGAAGAAGAUUGUAUCCUCUGUUUAAAAGUGCGGUUGAUAUGGCACGGUGGCACUUUGAUUAAAUUUAAGGUUUAUCAUUAAAUUAGUAUUUACUA